AGAGUUUGAUCAUGGCUCAGGAUGAACGCUAGCGGCAGGCUUAAUACAUGCAAGUCGUGGGGCAGCGCAGUGUAGCAAUACAUGGGCGGCGACCGGCAAACGGGUGCGGAACACGUACGCAACCUUCCUUUAACUGGAGAAUAGCCCGGGGAAACCCGGAUUAAUACUCCGUAACAUUAUGAAGUGGCAUCAUUUUAUAAUUAUAGCUCAGGCGGUUAAAGAUGGGCGUGCGUCUGAUUAGGUAGUUGGCGGGGUAACGGCCCACCAAGCCUACGAUCAGUAACUGGUGUGAGAGCACGACCAGUCACACGGGCACUGAGACACGGGCCCGACUCCUACGGGAGGCAGCAGUAAGGAAUAUUGGUCAAUGGACGCAAGUCUGAACCAGCCAUGCCGCGUGGAGGAUGAAGGUCCUCUGGAUUGUAAACUUCUUUUAUCUGGGAAGAAACCACCGAUUUCUAUUGGUGUUGACGGUACCGGAUGAAUAAGCACCGGCUAACUCCGUGCCAGCAGCCGCGGUAAUACGGAGGGUGCAAGCGUUAUCCGGAUUCACUGGGUUUAAAGGGUGCGUAGGUGGGCAGGUAAGUCAGUGGUGAAAUCUCCGGGCUUAACCCGGAAACUGCCGUUGAUACUAUCUGUCUUGAAUAUCGUGGAGAUGAGCGGAAUACGUCAUGUAGCGGUGAAAUGCUUAGAUAUGACGUAGAACACCGAUUGCGAAGGCAGCUCGUUACACGGUUAUUGACACUGAGGCACGAAAGCGUGGGGAUCAAACAGGAUUAGAUACCCUAGUAGUCC
rnacentral:rRNA from 1 species